GCCGGGCUAGCUCAAUCGGUAGAGCGUGAGACUCUUAGUCUUCACGGUAUCUCAAGGUUGCGGGUUCGACCCCCGCGUUCGGCU
rfam:Aspergillus nomius NRRL 13137 contig00023, whole genome shotgun sequence.